rnacentral:rRNA from 1 species
UACGUAGGGUGCGAGCGUUGUCCGGAAUUAUUGGGCGUAAAGAGCUUGUAGGUGGCUCGUUGCGUCGGGAGUGAAAACCUGCGGCUUAACCGCAGGCCUGCUUCCGAUACGGGCGAGCUAGAGUUCGGCAGGGGAGACUGGAAUUCCUGGUGUAGCGGUGGAAUGCGCAGAGUAUCAGGAGGAACACCGGUGGCGAAGGCGGGUCUCUGGGCCGAUACUGACACUGAGAAGCGAAAGCGUGGGGAGCGAACAGG